rnacentral:tRNA from 1 species
GGGGUUAUGGCUCAGUGGUAGAGCACUUGCCUAGCACGCAUGAGGCACUGGGUUUGAUCCUCAGCACCA